UUUAUGGAGAGUUUGAUCCUGGCUCAGGAUGAACGCUGGCGGCGUGCCUAAUACAUGCAAGUCGAGCGAACGGAUAAGGAGCUUGCUCCUUUGAAGUUAGCGGCGGACGGGUGAGUAACACGUGGGUAACCUACCUAUAAGACUGGAAUAACUUCGGGAAACCGGAGCUAAUGCCGGAUAACAUAUAGAACCGCAUGGUUCUAUAGUGAAAGAUGGUUUUGCUAUCACUUAUAGAUGGACCCGCGCCGUAUUAGCUAGUUGGUAAGGUAAUGGCUUACCAAGGCGACGAUACGUAGCCGACCUGAGAGGGUGAUCGGCCACACUGGAACUGAGACACGGUCCAGACUCCUACGGGAGGCAGCAGUAGGGAAUCUUCCGCAAUGGGCGAAAGCCUGACGGAGCAACGCCGCGUGAGUGAUGAAGGUUUUCGGAUCGUAAAACUCUGUUAUUAGGGAAGAACAAAUGCGUAAGUAACUGUGCACAUCUUGACGGUACCUGAUCAGAAAGCCACGGCUAACUACGUGCCAGCAGCCGCGGUAAUACGUAGGUGGCAAGCGUUAUCCGGAAUUAUUGGGCGUAAAGCGCGCGUAGGCGGUUUUUUAAGUCUGAUGUGAAAGCCCACGGCUCAACCGUGGAGGGUCAUUGGAAACUGG
rnacentral:rRNA from 1 species